rnacentral:rRNA from 1 species
AACGAACGCUGGCGGCAUGCCUAACACAUGCAAGUCGAACGAGACCUUCGGGUCUAGUGGCGCACGGGUGCGUAACGCGUGGGAACCUGCCCUUAGGUUCGGAAUAACUCCCCGAAAGGGGUGCUAAUACCGGAUAAUGUCUUCGGACCAAAGAUUUAUCGCCUUUGGAUGGGCCCGCGUUGGAUUAGCUAGUUGGUAGGGUAAAAGCCUACCAAGGCGACGAUCCAUAGCUGGUCUGAGAGGAUGAUCAGCCACACUGGGACUGAGACACGGCCCAGACUCCUACGGGAGGCAGCAGUGGGUAAUAUUGGACAAUGGCCGAAAGCCUGAUCCAGCAAGGCCGCUUGAGUUAUGAAGUCCUGAGGGUUGUAAAGCUCUUUUACCCGGGAUGAUAAUGACAGUACCGGAAGAAUAAGCCCCGGCUAACUCCGUG